CUGGGAGAGGAGCCCCAGCCCUGGGAGUCCCAGGUGUUCCCAUUCUGUGAUCAGGACAGAACACAGACAUCUCAUCAUGGAGUUUGUGCUUGGCUUCGUUUUCUUUGCUGCUGUUUUAAAAGGUGUCCAGUGUGAGGUACAGCAGGUGGAGUCUGGGGGAGGCCUGGUGAAGCCUGGAGGGUCCCUGAGACUCUCCUGUGCAGCCUCCGGAUUCACCUUCGGUAGCGACAGCAUGAGCUGGGUCCACCAGGCUCCAGGGAAAGGGCUGGAGUGGGUUUCAUGGAUUAGUACUGAUGGAAGUAGCACAAGCUACGCAGACUCCGUGAAGGGCCAGUUCACCAUCUCCAGAGACAACGCCAAGAACACAGUGGAUCUGCAGAUGAACAACCUGAGAGUCGAGGACAUGGACACGUAUUUCUGUGCGAGAGACACAGUGAGGGGCCAUCAGG